rnacentral:rRNA from 1 species
UACAGAGGUCUCAAGCGUUGUUCGGAUUCAUUGGGCGUAAAGGGUGCGUAGGCGGCGCGGUAAGCCGGGUGUGAAAUUUCGAGGCUUAACUUCGAAACUGCAUUCGAUACUGCCGUGCUUGAGGACUGGAGAGGAGACUGGAAUUUACGGUGUAGCGGUGAAAUGCGUAGAUAUCGUAAGGAAGACCAGUGGCGAAGGCGGGUCUCUGGACAGUUCCUGACGCUGAGGCACGAAGGCCAGGGGAGCAAACGGG